rnacentral:rRNA from 1 species
GACGAACGCUGGCGGCGUGCUUAACACAUGCAAGUCGAACGGAAAGACCCUGCUUUUGUGGGGUGCUCGAGUGGCGAACGGGUGAGUAACACGUGAGUAACCUGCCCUUGACUUUGGGAUAACUUCAGGAAACUGGGGCUAAUACCGGAUAGGAGCUCCUGCUGCAUGGUGGGGGUUGGAAAGUUUCGGCGGUUGGGGAUGGACUCGCGGCUUAUCAGCUUGUUGGUGGGGUAGUGGCUUACCAAGGCUUUGACGGGUAGCCGGCCUGAGAGGGUGACCGGCCACAUUGGGACUGAGAUACGGCCCAGACUCCUACGGGAGGCAGCAGUGGGGAAUAUUGCACAAUGGGCGGAAGCCUGAUGCAGCAACGCCGCGUGCGGGAUGACGGCCUUCGGGUUGUAAACCGCUUUCGCCUGUGACGAAGCGUGAGUGACGGUAAUGGGUAAAGAAGCACCGGCCAACUACGUG